AUUGAACGCUGGCGGCAGGCCUAACACAUGCAAGUCGAGCGGCAGCGGGAAGUAGCUUGCUACUUUGCCGGCGAGCGGCGGACGGGUGAGGAAUGUCUGGGAAACUGCCUGAUGGAGGGGGAUAACUACUGGAAACGGUAGCUAAUACCGCAUAAUGUCGCAAGACCAAAGAGGGGGACCUUCGGGCCUCUUGCCAUCAGAUGCGCCCAGAUGGGAUUAGCUAGUAGGUGGGGUAACGGCUCACCUAGGCGACGAUCCCUAGCUGGUCUGAGAGGAUGACCAGCCACACUGGAACUGAGACACGGUCCAGACUCCUACGGGAGGCAGCAGUGGGGAAUAUUGCACAAUGGGCGCAAGCCUGAUGCAGCCAUGCCGCGUGUAUGAAGAAGGCCUUCGGGUUGUAAAGUACUUUCAGCGGGGAGGAAGGUGUUGAGGUUAAUAACCUCAGCAAUUGACGUUACCCGCAGAAGAAGCACCGGCUAACUCCGUGCCAGCCGCCGCCGUAA
rnacentral:rRNA from 1 species